rnacentral:lncRNA from 1 species
UCUGAAGUCCUACCAAUGUAGGCAAGAAGAUUGAGUUGCUUUGAGGCCAAAUCGAAGCAACUCAGAUCAUGAACCUCAUUUUUCAAUUCCACAUAUCUCUCAAUAUAGUUGUUGCUUUGAGGCCAAAUCGAAGCAACUCAGAUCAUGAACCUCAUUUUUCAAUUCCACAUAUCUCUCAAUAUAGUUGGAAUUGGAUGAAUUGGAGGUGAUAUUCGUGCUCAAUGAUGUUUUUUCUUUAAGAUCAUGUCCCUGUUUUGUAUUUUGGUAAUGGUUCAUCUUAACUAGA